GACCAGAUUUUGUUUAUUAGAUAAAAUUGCGACAAAAUGUUUCAAUUUGGUUUAAAUUGCCAAAAUUGAAACUAUUGGAUUAAAUUGCAAUUUUGCCCAAACAUUUGUUAUGUGCUAAAUUUGAUCUCUUUGUAUGCCCAUCAAUACAAGAAGAAUUCUGUGCUAAAUUUCUAACUUCUCCCUAUAGAAUACUAUAUAUAAACUUCUUCAAAACUUUAAGACA
rnacentral:misc_RNA from 1 species